UCAAGAAACUUCCACAAUGGGCGAAAGCCUGAUGGAGCGACGUCGCGUGAUGGACGAAGUGCUUCGGCACGUAAACAUCUUUUAUGUGGGAUGAAAUUAUUGACAGUACCACAUGAAUAAGGGGCUCCUAGCUCUGUGCCAGCAGGAGCGGUAAUACAGAGGCCCCAAGCGUUAUCCGGAAUCACUGGGCGUAAAGGGUGUCGAGGCGGUUGUAUUAGUCGUUCGUAAAAUCUACGAGCUUAACUUGUAGGCGGCGAACGAAACGGUACGACUUGAGGUUUGGAGAGGUGCGUGGAACUCACGGUGUAGGGGUGAAAUCCGUUGAUAUCGUGGGGAACACCAAAGGCGAAGGCAGCGCACUGGCCAAAAUCUGACGCUCACACACGAAAGCUAGGGUAGCGAAGAGGAUUAGAUACCCUCGUAGUCCCUGAGCGGGCUGGCAAGGCGCAU
rnacentral:rRNA from 1 species